rnacentral:rRNA from 1 species
CCUACGGGUGACAGCAGUGAGGAAUAUUGGUCAAUGGCCGCAGGGCUGAACCAGCCAAGUCGCGUGAGGGAUGACGGUCCUAUGGAUUGUAAACCUCUUUUGUCAGGGAGCAAAGGGCGCCACGUGUGGCGCUUUGCGAGUACCUGAAGAAAAAGCAUCGGCAAACUCCGUGCCAGCAGCCGCGGUAAUACGGAGGAUGCGAGCGUUAUCCGGAUUUAUUGGGUUUAAAGGGUGCGCAGGCGGAAUGUCAAGUCAGCGGUAAAAUUUCGGGGCUCAACCCCGUCGUGCCGUUGAAACUGGCGUUCUUGAGUGAGCGAGAAGUAUGCGGAAUGCGUGGUGUAGCGGUGAAAUGCAUAGAUAUCACGCAGAACUCCGAUUGCGAAGGCAGCAUACCGGCGCUCAACUGACGCUCAUGCACGAAAGCGUGGGUAUCGAACAGGAUUAGAUACCCCAGUAGUC